ACAAGUACAUUGUAUCAUUCCGCCUAAAUAAUUCUUACAGAAGUUUUCGCCAACCGACAGUGUAAAUUUGUAAUAGUGUAUACUAAACCAGUUUGGUAACAGAUUCGUCAGCAGGAACUCUCGCGAGAUGCAAAAAACGGCAUAAAAAUUACACGUGCGUUAGUUUGUGAUGUAGUUAUAUACCAUUCUCUUAACAUCACUUCGUCUUUAUACAUCUCAGCUACCGGAGAGAGAACUACUCUGUAUUGAGGUUCAGUGCUAACAGCUUUCGUGAAACAGAUCAAGGAUAUUGUGCUUAAGUGAACGGUUGAAAAUCGAUAUAAACAUAGUCAAUCAAAAGAUGAUUUUUAGUGACAUUAGAAGAACUUAACUAAGCAACAAUUGUUGUUUCUGUUUCUGACAAACAUUGAGGAUUUAUCAGCUAAAAACCCAAACAAAAAUUGGAAUUAUUUAGCAAUGAAAAUUGGAUAUACAGUGGUAACGAUAUUUCUUCUGUUGGUUAUGCAUGUUGUGUGGUGUACCAACGGUUUAAACGAAACCAAAAGCGAGAAACUUCGCAACUCAAAUAAACCAAGAAAAUCUGGUGCUUCGGUCAUAGAAAGGAACAUAAGUUUUCAUAAUCGCACAGAUGCAACAAAUAACACCACUGCCGCUCCGAAAAAUAUUGUUCAAAUAAAUACAUUCGAUACCAGAGCAAGCAAGAACAAACGACGAAAAGGAAAGUUAUCGCUAAUAUGUCCACAAGAGAGACAAGCCCCUUUUCAACUUUUCACAACAACAUGUAGGCGUAAUCGAGAGUGCACGAAAACAAACAGCAGGAUGAAGUGUUGUAACUUAUUCGGAAGUAAAAGAUGCGUAGAAGGAGUUAGAAAACCGAUUCCAGAACCACCCCAUGGUCCAAUAUUCGGCGUUCCAAGACGUUGUCCAGAACAACCAUUGACAGAAACAUUCUGGGAUAUCAAAACAUGUGAAGAUGACAAUGAUUGCUGGCCUCGAAUUUGUUGCCCUGAUGGCGAUAACAAAUAUUGCCGUACUUCACAGCCGUUAUUUGAAAAAUCUCCGAAUCCAGCAGCUAGACAAUUAGCUUACCCCAUUGAAGCAUUCUCUCAAUACCUGCAAUGCACUCCGGCACCGCCAGUAAUUUUUGACAUCCAUCCUAAGGCGUGUAACAGUACCUUGGAUUGCUUUCCGAACCUAUGUUGUUUAGAAGCUGGGAAGCGCCAUUGUAGACCCCCAAGGAAAUCGCUGCUUUCGCUAGUUACAGGCCUUACAUCGCGCAUAAACAUAGGUGUUCUGAAGGAUUUCACUGAAAAUCUUGUCAUAAGACGAUGAUCGAUGAUCGAAUUUAAUUUCAAAUCUGCCAUAACUGAUAGGAACAGAUAAACACCAAAUAUCCCAUUCAAAAUGAGAAAAAUUAUAAGCUAGAGAACUAGUGUUUAUGAAAAUAACGAAAAAACACAGAAAUCCGUCGUAGAAUCGUACAUCCGCUGCACCGACCCUUCCCCAGUGGAUUGAGAU